rnacentral:rRNA from 1 species
UACGGGGGGGGCAAGCGUUGUUCGGAAUUACUGGGCGUAAAGGGCGCGUAGGCGGCCUUCUAAGUCGGACGUGAAAUCCCUCGGCUUAACCGAGGAACUGCGUCCGAUACUGAAAGGCUUGAAUCCGGGAGAGGGAUGUGGAAUUCCAGGUGUAGCGGUGAAAUGCGUAGAUAUCUGGAGGAACACCGGUGGCGAAGGCGGCAUCCUGGACCGGUAUUGACGCUGAGGCGCGAAAGCUAGGGGAGCAAGCGGG